UGAAUACGAGACGCUAAGGCGUCGAAGUAGUGUAUGUCAUACUUCCAAGAAAAGCUUGCACUGUCAUAGAUAAAAAACGCCUGUACCAUAACCGACACAGGUGGGUAGGUAGAGUAUACUAAGGGGCGCGAGAUAACUCUCUCUAAGGAACUCGGCAAAAUAACUCCGUAACUUCGGGAGAAGGAGUGCCUUAUUCUUAAGGUUGCAAUAACAAGAUCCAAGCAACUGUUUAUCAAAAACACAGGUCUCCGCUAAGUCGUAAGACGAUGUAUGGGGGCUGACGCCUGCCCAGUGCCAGAAGGUUAAAGAAGCUGGUUAGCAUUUGCGAAGCUAGUAACUGAAGCCCUGGUGAACGGCGGCCGUAACAAUAACGGUCCUAAGGUAGCGAAAUUCCUUGUCGGGUAAGUUCCGACCCGCACGAAAGGCGUAAUGAUUUGGAUACUGUCUCGGAGAGGGGCUCGGUGAAAUAGACUUGUCUGUGAAGAUGCGGACUACCUGCACCAGGACAGAAAGACCCUAUGAAGCUUUACUGUAACUUGAAAUUGAAAUUGGACUUUAUUCGCGCAGUAUAGGUGGGAGGCGUUGAUUAUAAUCUUGCGGGAUUAUUGGAGCCAUUAGUGAGAUACCACUCUUGUAAUGUUAGAUUUCUAACUUUGAAUCAUUAUCUGGUCAGAGAACAGUUUCAGGCGGGCAGUUUGACUGGGGCGGUCGCCUCCUAAACGGUAACGGAGGCGUACAAAGGUUUCCUCUGAACGGUUAGAAAUCGUAUCUAGAGUGUAAAGGCAUAAGGAAGCUUGACUGUGAGACCUACAAGUCGAGCAGGGACGAAAGUCGGUCUUAGUGAUCUGACGGUACUGAGUGGAAAGGCCGUCACUCAACGGAUAAAAGUUACUCUAAGGAUAACAGGCUGAUCUCCCCCAAGAGUUCACAUCGACGGGGAGGUUUGGCACCUCGAUGUCGGCUCAUCGCAUCCUGGGGCGGUAGUACGUCCCAAGGGUUGGGCUGUUCGCCCAUGAAAGCGGUACGCGAGCUGGGUUCAGAACGUCGUGAGACAGUUCGGUCCAUAUCCGGUGUAGGCGUUAGAAUAUUGAGAGGAGCCUUCUUUAGUACGAGAGGACCGAGAAGGACAUACCUCUGGUGUACCAGUUAUCGUGCCAACGGUAAACGCUGGGUAGCUAUGUAUGGAGUGGAUAACCGCUGAAAGCAUCUAAGUGGGAAGCCCACCUCAAGAUAAGUAUUCUCAU
rnacentral:rRNA from 1 species